CGGGCGCGGGCUCCUCCGGGCUCUAGCCGAGCCCGCGCCCGGCUAUUCAAACCCAAACACGUCUGGAAAACCGAUCUUUUCUGCGCCUGGGAGGUUUUCGCAUCCUCUCUUCCCACCGCUGAGGCUGGUGGCCACCAAGUGUAGGAGAAAGUCCCCAGGAGGAGAGGCAGGGGGGCGCGGAGACGGGAAGGCGACUCGGAGGGGUAGCAAGUAAACGCUGGACUCGAUCGUCUGUCUCCUUCUGCCUUUCAGAGCGGACCUGCCGCAGCGGGAGAGCUGUCAUUUCAGCACCGGGAUUUAGCCUUGAUCCAGUCUGCAGCUGAGGGGCCACAACUCAGCUCCCACUGCUCUUUGCCUCAGGCUGGAGGCUGGAACUAUAGUUGUUCAGUUUUGUUUUGUUUUUUUUUCUUUUUAAAACCACAGCCAGACUGCAAUUAACAUCUUAUUUGUUCUGUCACGAAAGAGGCUUUGCCAGGACCACCAGGCUACCAGGGUCAGGCGUCCUGAACUGCUCCCUGCAUGGCGUUGGGACAAUAGUGCGGGUUCUAAACUUUUGAUUCGUUCUGGCUUCUUAAUGCAUUUAUUCCUUGUCAAGUUUCCCCUCGUAGCAAGUUCGGACAUCUGAAGACGACACGACGCAUCAGAUAGACUUCACAUGCACAUGCAGGUCAUUCGCCAGCUAGUUUUGUCUCUACUUGUGUAUGCGGUUGGUGGUUUGCAAAACAAGUGUUUGAAUAGUGUGCUUAUGUGGUGGGAGGAGACAUAAUGGGCAAUGCAUUUGGGCAGAGUCCUCCUAAGGCUGAGUUGCCCGAGCUAGCGGCAGGUGAAGUUGAAUGAAGCAAUUUUCCAUCAUUUGCUCUACUCCCUCAUUUGCAUUUUUGUUCCUCUUCUUGUUCCUCUCCCCUGGGGCAAUUGCAUAGCCAAGAACACGAUUUUCAAAGGAAGGCUAUCAUGAAAACAGGAAGGUGCUGAUGAUCUUUUAUGCACCAGAAUUGCUUGAAAUAUUAAAAUUGGCUCUUUGGCUCCUUACAUCUUACUGCAUAUUAAUAGAAUGACCCUCUUCAAGGCUUUUCUCUUUUAGGACAAGCAUUGAAGUAACAACCUGUAAGGGAAACAGUUAAUCACUCUCCAGCAGGCUUCAACAAUGUUCCCAGGAACAAAUCACCAGGGAAAGCAGCCUGGGUGGCAUUUUGGUUUUGUGUCAUUUCUGGUUCAUUACAAUGCUUUUAUUCAUUUAGGGGAAUGUGAAAAGGAAAUGGUCUCAUAUGUCAAAUGCAAAAUCCCAAACACUGUGUGUAUAGUAAGCAUAUUUUCUUAUUAAAAAAAGACUAUUCUGCAAUAUAAAAGACAAAAUAUUUCAUUUAUUUCAACUUUCGGGAUAACAGUGGUCAUAAUAUUUGCAAGACAUUUGGGUAUAUCUGUUAUUUUACCCAGAGCAAAAAAAAAAAAAAAA